GUGGGGAAUAUUGGUCAAUGGGGGCAACCCUGAACCAGCAACGCCGCGUGAAGGAUGAAGGUCUUCGGAUUGUAAACUUUUGUCGUAUAGGACGAAAAAUGACGGUACUAUACAAGAAAGCCACGGCUAACUACGUGCCAGCAGCCGCGGUAAUACGUAGGUGGCGAGCGUUGUCCGGAUUUACUGGGUGUAAAGGGCGCGUAGGCGGGUAUGUAAGUCAGAUGUGAAAUCCCGAGGCUUAACUUCGGAACUGCAUUUGAAACUGCAAAUCUUGAGUGCGGGAGAGGAAAGCGGAAUUCCUAGUGUAGCGGUGAAAUGCGUAGAUAUUAGGAGGAACACCGGUGGCGAAGGCGGCUUUCUGGACCGUAACUGACGCUGAGGCGCGAAAGCGUGGGUAGCAAACAGGA
rnacentral:rRNA from 1 species